UGUGUGUGUGUGUGUGUGUGUGUGUGUGUGUGUGUGUGUGUGUGUGUGUGUGUGUUUGUGUGUGUGUCUCUCUGCAGACGGUGCUUCAGGAUCUGGUGACGGAGAUGAUGAGGGCUCUGGGCGCGGUAAAAAGGUCUCGAAGUGUGGAAACUGCAAGUUUGGAGCCGAAUGUGACGAAGACUCUGAGGAUAUGCUCUGCAUGUGUAACAUUGUGUGUAACGGCCACAACGAUAACCCGGUGUGCGGCGGCGACGGCGUCACCUACGACACGCCCUGCCACGUCCGGGAGGCGUCGUGCCUCAAACAGCUCAAGAUCGACAUCAAGCACGUGGGCCGAUGCCAAGGUAA